UACGGGGGGAGCAAGCGUUGUUCGGAUUUACUGGGCGUAAAGGGCGCGUAGGCGGGCGCAACAAGUCACUUGUGAAAUCUCCGGGCUUAACUCGGAAAGGUCAAGUGAUACUGUUGUGCUAGAGUGCGGAAGGGGCAACUGGAAUUCUCGGUGUAGCGGUGAAAUGCGCAGAUAUCAGGAGGAACACCGGUGGCGAAGGCGGUUCUCUGGGAAUAUCCUGACGCUGAGGAGCGAAAGUGUGGGGAGCAAACAGG
rnacentral:rRNA from 1 species